rnacentral:rRNA from 1 species
UACGAAGGGUGCUAGCGUUGUUCGGAAUUACUGGGCGUAAAGCGUGCGCAGGCGGUUUUGCAAGCCGGAUGUGAAAUCCCCGGGCUCAACCUGGGAAUGGCAUUCGGGACUGCAAGGCUGGAGUGCGGCAGAGGAGACUGGAAUUCCUGGUGUAGCAGUGAAAUGCGUAGAUAUCAGGAGGAAUACCGAUGGCGAAGGCAGGUCUCUGGGCUGACACUGACGCUCAUGCACGAAAGCGUGGGGAGCAAACAGG